rnacentral:rRNA from 1 species
GAUGAACGCUGGCGGCGUGCCUAAUACAUGCAAGUCGAGCGAACAGACGAGGAGCUUGCUCCUCUGACGUUAGCGGCGGACGGGUGAGUAACACGUGGAUAACCUACCUAUAAGACUGGGAUAACUUCGGGAAACCGGAGCUAAUACCGGAUAAUAUAUUGAACCGCAUGGUUCAAUAGUGAAAGACGGUUUUGCUGUCACUUAUAGAUGGAUCCGCGCCGCAUUAGCUAGUUGGUUAGGUAACGGCUUACCAAGGCAACGAUGCGUAGCCGACCUGAGAGGGUGAUCGGCCACACUGGAACUGAGACACGGUCCAGACUCCUACGGGAGGCAGCAGUAGGGAAUCUUCCGCAAUGGGCGAAAGCUUGACGGAGCAACGCCGCGUGAGUGAUGAAGGUCUUCGGAUCGUAAAACUCUGUUAUUAGGGAAGAACAAAUGUGUAAGUAACUAUGCACGUCUUGACGGUACCUAAUCAGAAAGCCACGGCUAACUACGUG